AAUUACAAAAAUAAACUGAAAGCCUUCUUGGACCCUUCCAUCGACCACUACAAUCCUCCAACAGACAGGCAACAAUUCUACCAGUUUUGCACUGAAUUUGGGUUCUUUCAGACCACGGAUUCAAAGAACCAGCCCUUCACUGGGCUGCCUCUCAGUUAUUUUGUUCAACAGUGUUCUGAUUUCUUUGACCCUAAGUUCAAUUAUGAUUCACUGAAGAAGGGUGUUAAAUCCACCAAUGCAUACUACAGUGGCUUUAAAGUAACGGGAAGCAAAAUCAUCUUUCCCAAUGGUUCC